UACGGGGGGAGCAAGCGUUGUUCGGAUUUACUGGGCGUAAAGGGCGCGUAGGCGGCCACCGCAAGUCGAUUGUGAAAUCUCCGGGCUUAACCCGGAAAGGUCAACCGAUACUGCGGGGCUAGAGUGCAGAAGGGGCAACUGGAAUUCUCGGUGUAGCGGUGAAAUGCGUAGAUAUCGAGAGGAACACCUGCGGCGAAGGCGACUUACUGGACACAUAUUGACGCUGAGGUGCGAAAGCGUGGGGAGCAAACAGG
rnacentral:rRNA from 1 species